AGCCAUGUGAAGUCGUGGAAAGAAAAGGUUCAAUGGUAACAGCGAAGAAAGAUAGAAUGUUAUUUACUCGUAAUUCGUCAUUUUUCAAGAAGAUAGAAAAUGGGAAAAGUCUAGGAGAACCCAUUGAGGAAAGUAUAAAGGAAAAAGAACGGCGGUAUCCUUUGCGUACAAGAAAAGCCCCUAUUCAAUACGGACAAGUUGAAAGUUAAUUUAGAGAUAAAAGUUAUUUAGCUAUAAAAGAAACAAUUAAUAUUUUCAUAAACGAACUUAUAGAUACAAAAUACAAAAAAUAUAUUUAAUUAGUUUGGGGAGAGGUGUAGUAUAGUUAUUAUGCAAAUUAUUAGUAUUUCGUACUUUGCGUUGUAUCACUGCUU